UACGUAGGGGCCGAGCGUUGUCCGGAAUCAUUGGGCGUAAAGAGCGUGUAGGCGGCUACUUAAGUCCUGCGUGAAAUCUCGGGGCUCAACCCCGAGCGGUCGUGGGAAACUGGGUAGCUAGAGUGCGGGAGAGGAGAGUGGAAUUCCUGGUGUAGCGGUGGAAUGCGCAGAUAUCAGGAAGAACACCCGUGGCGAAGGCGGCUCUCUGGAACGCAACUGACGCUGAGACGCGAAAGCGUGGGGAGCAAACAGG
rnacentral:rRNA from 1 species